rnacentral:rRNA from 1 species
UAGCGACCGCUGCUGAUCGCGGGAGGAUCUCUCCUCAGAGUCGGGUUGCUUGAGAGUGCAGCCCUAAGUGGGUGGUAAACUCCAUCUAAGGCUAAAUAUGACCACGAGACCGAUAGCGAACAAGUACCGUGAGGGAAAGUUGAAAAGCACUUUGAAGAGAGAGUUCAAGAGUACGUGAAACCGUUUAGGGGUAAACCUGAGAAACCCGAAAGGUCGAAGGGAGAAAUUCAUCGUGUUUCGAUGUUGGCGCGAGGCGGUCGCGCGACGGAGAGGGUUCGUCCCGAUCCGCGCCUUCCGCAUCGUCGAUCCGACGUCGAACGCGUGCACUUUUCUCCUGGUAGGACGUCGCGAUCCGUUGGGCGUCGAUCUACGGCCCGGGGUGGAGCCCGCGCGGUUUUUGCCGCGCGAACCCCCGGUGUCCUGACCGACUCGCUCGACGGUAGACGAACGGUCGAGGGCCGCUUUAGAAGCGUUCGGCUCGUUGCAAGCGCGCCGGAAGCGUCGGAUGUCGGACCUGGUGCCGAUACCGAUCUCCGGUGACUGUUGGCGACGAAG